UUCACACAGUGACGGUAACUUACCAGAAAGGGACGGCUAACUACGUGCCAGCAGCCGCGGUAAUACGUAGGUCCCGAGCGUUGUCCGGAUUUAUUGGGCGUAAAGCGAGCGCAGGCGGUUUGAUAAGUCUGAAGUAAAAGGCUGUGGCUUAACCAUAGUAUGCUUUGGAAACUGUCAAACUUGAGUGCAGAAGGGGAGAGUGGAAUUCCAUGUGUAGCGGUGAAAUGCGUAGAUAUAUGGAGGAACACCGGUGGCGAAAGCGGCUCUCUGGUCUGUAACUGACGCUGAGGCUCGAAAGCGUGGGGAGCGAACAGGAUUAGAUACCCUGGUAGUCCACGCCGUAAACGAUGAGUGCUAGGUGUUGGGUCCUUUCCGGGACUCAGUGCCGCAGCUAACGCAUUAAGCACUCCGCCUGGGGAGUACGACCGCAAGGUUGAAACUCAAAGGAAUUGACGGGGGCCCGCACAAGCGGUGGAGCAUGUGGUUUAAUUCGAAGCAACGCGAAGAACCUUACCAGGUCUUGACAUCCCAGUGACCGUCCUAGAGAUAGGAUUUUUCUUCGGAACACUGGAGACAGGUGGUGCAUGGUUGUCGUCAGCUCGUGUCGUGAGAUGUUGGGUUAAGUCCCGCAACGAGCGCAACCCCUAUUGUUAGUUGCCAUCAUUCAGUUGGGCACUCUAGCGAGACUGCCGGUAAUAAACCGGAGGAAGGUGGGGAUGACGUCAAAUCAUCAUGCCCCUUAUGACCUGGGCUACACACGUGCUACAAUGGCUGGUACAACGAGUCGCAAGUCGGUGACGACAAGCUAAUCUCUUAAAGCCAGUCUCAGUUCGGAUUGUAGGCUGCAACUCGCCUACAUGAAGUCGGAAUCGCUAGUAAUCGCGGAUCAGCACGCCGCGGUGAAUACGUUCCCGGGCCUUGUACACACCGCCCGUCACACCACGAGAGUUUGUAACACCCGAAGUCGGUGAGGUAACCAUUUGGAGCCAGCCGCCUAAGGUGGGAUAGAUGAUUGGGGUGAAGUCGUAACAAGGUAGCCGUAUCGGAAGGUGCGGCUGGAUCACCUCCUUU
rnacentral:rRNA from 1 species